rnacentral:rRNA from 1 species
UACGUAGGUGGCGAGCGUUGUCCGGAUUUACUGGGCGUAAAGAGCGCGCAGGCGGUCGUACAAGUCGAAUGUGAAAGCCCCCGGCUCAACUGGGGAGGGUCAUUCGAUACUGUUCGACUCGAAGGCAGGAGAGGGAAGUGGAAUUCCCGGUGUAGUGGUGAAAUGCGUAGAUAUCGGGAGGAACACCAGUGGCGAAGGCGACUUCCUGGCCUGUUCUUGACGCUGAGGCGCGAAAGCUAGGGGAG